AUCUUUAUAAGGAAGGAGGAGCUACCAUGAUGUCACCCAUUGGUUUGUGGACUCCUGUUUGGACGCCUUGAGUUCGGCCUUUUCGCCAUCGCCAUCUUGUUUUUUUGGUGCCAGAGGGGACCAUAUUUGGUAAAUGCCUCUGAAUUCAAGCAAGCCACCAUGAUGAAUCUUAAAUUCAGCAGGUGCUGCAGCCGAACCCUGCUGCGAUCAGAGUCUUACUCACAUGUCCAGAGGAUCCACGGGGUUUCCAACGGCCACAUAUCUGCAGGAGCAGCCGUAAUCUUCGAGGUCGCGUGGACAAAGCCCCGUCGCACAGCGGAGCUUCAGAGCAAAACUCAGCAGCGAAGGGAAAUUAUCAAAGACCGAGUGGAGCCAGGUGAAGCGCAGGCCGAGACAAUCUGCACCGAGAGGAGGAAAACAAGAAGAGACGGACACACAGAGGCGUCACGUUAUCUGCAUUCUGCUCACUGGUUCCUGGAUCUGGGCAGAAGAUGGAGCUGGCAGACAGCGCUGAAGACAGAGACAAUAAUGAGUCAUUUUUUUAAUGGUUAAUCCAUCAGAUUACAUCCUUAUAGCUUUAUAUACAGGAUGCUGAAGUUCAGCCCACUGCUCAAGAUGGCCAGUUCCUCUUUUCUAGGUUAGAACAUAUUUCUUUCAUCAGUUUUUUAUCAAAAAGCUACACAAUGUUAGUGAGAUUUUCUGUCCACAUUCUGAAAAAGGAGUAGUAAAAGAAAAAAUGCAGCAGCUUGUUAAUAUUUGUAACUUAUUUUUAAAUCAUUUUUUGGUCCAUAUGCA